rnacentral:rRNA from 1 species
AACGAACGCUGGCGGCAUGCCUAACACAUGCAAGUCGAACGAGACCUUCGGGUCUAGUGGCGCACGGGUGCGUAACGCGUGGGAACCUGCCCUUAGGUUCGGAAUAACUCCCCGAAAGGGGUGCUAAUACCGGAUAAUGUCUUCGGACCAAAGAUUUAUCGCCUUUGGAUGGGCCCGCGUUGGAUUAGCUAGUUGGUAGGGUAAAAGCCUACCAAGGCGACGAUCCAUAGCUGGUCUGAGAGGAUGAUCAGCCACACUGGGACUGAGACACGGCCCAGUCUCCUACGCGAGGCAGCAGUGGGGAAUAUUGGACAAUGGGCGAAAGCCUGAUCCAGCAAUGCCGCGUGAGUGAUGAAGGCCUUAGUGUUGUAAAGCUCUUUUACCCGAGAUGAUAAUGACAGUACCGGGAGAAUAAGCUCCGGCUAACUCCGUG